GCGUUUGUGGUUUAGUGGUAAAAUCCAUCGUUGCCAAUUGGCUAUACAAUAUGCCUAAUAGGCUAGUAUAUCCAUUAUUUCGAUGGGCCCCGGGUUCGAUUCCCGGCGAACGCA
rnacentral:tRNA from 1 species